rnacentral:rRNA from 1 species
GAUGAACGCUGGCGGCGUGCCUAAUACAUGCAAGUCGAGCGAACAGACGAGGAGCUUGCUCCUCUGACGUUAGCGGCGGACGGGUGAGUAACACGUGGAUAACCUACCUAUAAGACUGGGAUAACUUCGGGAAACCGGAGCUAAUACCGGAUAAUAUAUUGAACCGCAUGGUUCAAUAGUGAAAGACGGUUUUGCUGUCACUUAUAGAUGGAUCCGCGCCGCAUUAGCUAGUUGGUAAGGUAACGGCUUACCAAGGCAACGAUGCGUAGCCGACCUGAGAGGGUGAACGGCCACCCUGGAACUGAGACACGGUCCAGACUCCUACGGGAGGCCGCAGUAGGGAAUCUUCCGCAAUGGGCGAAAGCCUGACGGAGCAACGCCGCGUGAGUGAUGAAGGUCUUCGGAUCGUAAAGCUCUGUUAGUAGGGAAGAACAAAUGUGUAAGUAACUAUGCACGUCUUGACGGUACCUAAUCAGAAAGCCACGGCUAACUACGUG